rnacentral:rRNA from 1 species
AACGAACGCUGGCGGCAGGCUUAACACAUGCAAGUCGAGCGCCCCGCAAGGGGAGCGGCAGCCGGGUGAGUAACGCGUGGGAACGUACCUUUUGGUUCGGAACAACUCCGGGAAACUGGAGCUAAUACCGGAUAAGCCCUAACGGGGAAAGAUUUAUCGCCGAAAGAUCGGCCCGCGUCUGAUUAGCUAGUUGGUGAGGUAACGGCUCACCAACGCGACGAUCAGUAGCUGGUCUGAGAGGAUGAUCAGCCACACUGGGACUGAGACACGGCCCAGACUCCUACGGGAGGCAGCAGUGGGGAAUAUUGGACAAUGGGCGCAAGCCUGAUCCAGCCAUGCCGCGUGAGUGAUGAAGGCCUUAGGGUUGUAAAGCUCUUUUGUCCGGGAAGAUAAUGACUGUACCGGAAGAAUAAGCCCCGGCUAACUUCGUG